rnacentral:tRNA from 1 species
GGGCAGAUGGCCGAGUGGUCUAAGGCGCUACGUUAAGGCCGUAGUCUCUUCGGAGGCGUGGGUUCGAAUCCCACUCUGCUCA